UGUACAGUAUAUUGUUUAACGUAUACCUGUGAAAAGAAAGGAUCAAUGGAUGAAGAGGCUUCCCUCUGAAGACUACACUAUUUAAUGGGAGAAUUCUUAGUGGACUCAAGAUUUGCUAAUGGUUUACUCAAGCACAGAAAUACAAGUGAACUACCUUUUUUUGCUAAACAACCCAGAGAACUACAACAGCUCAAAGCCCAAAAGAGAACAGCAUUUCCCAAGCUGGAGGAAACAGAUAACAGUUUUGGUCGGGAAGUAAAAAGGGAGUGAGAAGUCUUUCCUGUCUGAGUGACGGAUGAAGCAAUUGCUUGGAGUAAUGGCCUGACUCAGAAGAGUUAGAUCUGACUGCAAGGUCCAAAUCCAUGCCUGGAGUUCCAGAAAAUAUGGGACCCGACACUUCUGGAGUCUGACAAAAUGUAGAUCCAAGCACACAGCAAGAAUGGUUGUGAGUCUCUUGGCCAAUCUGUAAGGACAUGGUAAGGAAGAAAUGUGAAGUUAAUCUAAAUAACAGAUCCCUGACAGAGAUGAGGAGCCAUCUCAUGUGUCCCUCAGCAUUGUGCAGAGCCUGACUAGCCUGUUGGACCUGGUGCAUGGAGCAGCGAGAGGAUGACUGCAAGGAGUUUGAUCUCUGAGAAGAACAGCAAAGAAUGUCUUUCUCCAGCUCCCGAAAAUGACUCAGCUGUGUUGUUGCUGGAGAAACCCGCUCUUCAUCAUCCGGUACACUUUUAAUUUGAAUGGGAUUUCAUGAUUUGAAUACUGGAUUGCCCUUUGCCAUGCUGCUCAGCCCUAUUUGUGACUGCAAACCACAGUGCUUGUUCUCCAAUAUGAUAACCUCUUUCAGGAAUGGUUUUCUGAACUAGAUGAGACUGCUCAGCCAGCACGAGGCCUUUAGCCAGAGUAUUUCAGCAGGGCUCCAGUUCACUUCCCAUCUCUGGCCCCAGGUCGCUCAGCAGCUUUCACACCGAUGUCUUCCCAGCAGCAAGCAUCAGGUUAUCUGAAAUGUUUGUGCAGAAAGCUCAGAGCCUCAGCAUAAAUUGGGAAGGAAAAUUUCUUGAUAAAUUAGCUUCACUGCUUCUCAGCAAAAUCCUCACAUCACGAAAGGGAGCCAGGAGUUUUUGCUGUCUGUUGCUGAAGAUAAAUGUAUGCUUCAGCAGCAGGAGGACCGGGAAAGUCCAACCCCUGAACUCCGUGCUUUGCAAGUCAUGUAACUUUGUAAAACUCUUAAAAGACUUAACUGCCUGCAGAAAUGCUGAAAAUACUAGUUUUUGGGUCUGAUUCACCAAUUCUUAGACACACAAGAAGUCUCACUGAGAAUUUGGGGUAAGCAAAAGUCAUUCAGUUAUUACAGCCUUGGAAAAUGACUAAUUAUGAAAUAGGUUGAGAAUUGUUGAAUGCUCUCCUUCUUGCUCUCUUCACCCCAUGUAUGCAAAUCAAUAAAUAAAUUUAAAAGCAACUUAAGCACCUCAAUAAAUUAAGCUGCUGUUUUAGAAGAUUUCUCUAAUUAGAUUUAUCUUUAAUAAUAUGAGGGUACUUUCUAGAAGUCUAUCAUAGUACUUCUCUAUGGUAGAAGUAUGCAGUUUUGAGGCAAGUCUCCUGUAUUUAUUAAAGUUACUAGAAACGUUUAUUUUCCACUACUUGAAUUUAUGUCUUGCAGGUGUCUUUCCUGCCC